rnacentral:piRNA from 1 species
UUCCUUGUCUUUUGGAACGCUCACUCUGG